GUCGGAGAGCUGAGCUUGAGGGAGUGGGUCAACCGAGCGCUCCCGUCAAGGCUCGCCGACGUCGUACAUCCUGGCAUCUCUCUGUAUGACGACACGGUGAGCAGCGAUGAUGCCCAAGGUGAAUCAACCGGCAGCAGGAGCUGCUUAGCGCAGCUGCUGGAUUUGGGGCUGCAGUGUACCAGAGACUUGCCUGAGGACAGGGUGACGAUGAAGGAUGUGACUGUGAAACUGCAGCGGAUCAAGGAGGUAUUACAAGCCUAGAUAGUCUUGUCCUGCAGCCCUGCAGAUGAUAACCCAAAGCUGGCAAGGCCAUGUGUCAUCUGUGGUGGUUGCAAAUGCUGAACUGCAUCAUGAAAGCUGUAGCCUUCCUUGAAAAGAUACCUGUAACAGUAGUUGAGUUGCAGGUUUGCAGCCAUCUAACAAAAAGUAAUAUACUACGUGUUAGAGAGUUGUUUAGGGCUUAAUCCUCCAAUAACCUGCCAAAGAACGCAAUGAAUAUUUCUACUAGUUUUCAAAGGACCACUGAAAAAUUUCAGUUAACCCAACAAUAUAUGAGAGGUCCACGAUUCCAUCAUGAUGCCCACAGCCCACCCUCCAUCGUACAGAAAAUAAGCAAACAAUGCAAGCAAGCAAUUAAAUACUUAAUGGAAGGGAAGUUGUGCACGUACAGCUUCUCUUGUAUUCAAUGUACUACUAUCAAUUAUCAGUGAUCAUGACGCUGUUUGAUGGCUCCAUGGAUAUGGAUAGUCUAGCAUGGGGAAGAGCGACUAUCAUCAACUUGCUUCGCUGAACCUGACCGCCUUCAAUAAUAGACAUGUGAAAUGGCG
rnacentral:lncRNA from 1 species